UUGAACGCUGGCGGCAGGCCUAACACAUGCAAGUCGAACGGUAACAGGAAGAAGCUUGCUUCUUUGCUGACGAGUGGCGUACGGGUGAGUAAUGUCUGGGAAACUGCCUGAUGGAGGGGGAUAACUACUGGAAACGGUAGCUAAUACCGCAUAACGUCGCAAGACCAAAGAGGGGGACCUUCGGGCCUCUUGUCAUCGGAUGUGCCCAGAUGGGAUUAGCUAGUAGGUGGGGUAACGGCUCACCUAGGCGACGAUCCCUAGCUGGUCUGAGAGGAUGACCAGGCACACUGGAACUGAGACACGGUCCAGACUCCUACGGGGGGCAGCAGUGGGGAAUAUUGCACGAUGGGCGCAAGCCUGAUGCAGCCAUGCCGCGUGUAUGAAGAAGGCCUUCGGGUUGUAAAGUACUUUCAGCGGGGAGGAAGGGAGUAAAGUUAAUACCUUUGCUCAUUGACGUUACCCGCAGAAGAAGCACCGGCUAACUCCGUG
rnacentral:rRNA from 1 species